GGCCCAGUGGCGCAGUCGGUUAGCGCGUCGCCCUGUCACGGCGAAGGUCGCGGGUUCGAGUCCCGUCUGGGUCGCAA
rnacentral:tRNA from 1 species